GCAGCAGAGCCAAGCUGAAAUGCGUCAUGAUACAAUCUGGCUAAUCUGAGCACCAAACUGAACGGACAAAUAAUUUAACAAGAGGUGAGGGAUGUCUAGCUCAAGGUGGAAUCAGUCCAGUAAGAAAUGAAGUCCAGCAGAUCCAAACAAAAGAUGAAAGUCUUCCUAAAGGCAACAAAGCUCGAAUGGAUCAAGCCAAAACGAGUAUGCAGAUCUUCAGACGAGAGAUGAUGGAGCUACCUCACAAAGUCUGGCAAAAAGGUUCAUUUAUAGGAUGUGACUGGAGGAUCCGUUCAAUGAUUGUCUUUCAUGAAGACCGUGAAUGCUGAACUCAUGUUUCCCCUAUUUUUUUGAGUGGAAGACUAUACCACUACAAAAACACUCAAGUUUGAGAGCUGGAGAAGUUAUAGCAGGAAAGCCAAGUUCUCAGAAAUGUGACAACUGGAUUGCCCUAUUUGUUGCCUUAAAUAAUAACUACAUAUUCAAAAG